UUGGCCUUUAUGACCAGGCUACACACGUACUACAAUGGCCGGUACAAAGGGCAGCCACUUAGCGAUAAGGAGCCAAUCCCGUAAAGCCGGUCUCAGUCCGGAUUGGAGUCUGCAACUCGACUCCAUGAAGUUGGAAUCGCUAGUAAUCGCAGAUCAGCACGCUGCGGUGAAUACGUUCCCGGGCCUU
rnacentral:rRNA from 1 species